UUAUCGGUUCGGUUUAUCGGUCGGUUCGGUUUUUGCACAGCCCUACCUGGGAUAACUUGUUCCCAACCAAACGACCCCCAAGUGUCAUGUGACAAGUAUGUGCCACUUUUAGCUUAAGUUUAAACUAAUAAAACUCAGUUCAAAAGAUCAUAAUUAAACUGUUAGGUUGUGCUCAAGUUCCCAACAUGCUAUACUGGUUGCGAUAUUGUAAAA
rnacentral:lncRNA from 1 species